GGGGGUAUAACUCAGUGGUAGAGCAUUCGACUGCAGAUCGAGAUGACUUCGGUUCAAACCCGGGUGUCCCCU